UGAGUGUUUGGAGCAAUACUGGCUGUAUCCAAGGCUCAGCCAAUCGUUUUACAUAACAGAAUGCAGCACGCGAUUGGAGAGAGAAGAGACGACCAACUUACUAUUUACAGCAUCAGCCUGCGCUCUGAAAGACAGUUUGCCAGUUAACUCACAGCAGCGCGUCCCCUGAACCAUAACGAAGAGGUACUGUAGGUCAGAAGCCUGACCACGGAGACGGAGACGGGGGGGGGGUGAGAAGGUGAUGAAGCAGUACUUCAUGACCUGUAACCGAAAUAACACCUGGCAUUUGGAAAGUUUGAGGUGAGGGAGACAGUGUGGUGGAACAAGUUUUGUUGGCACUGUGAAGUAUCUUGCUAGCGGGAUCGAAUUCUCCGUUAGCUAGCCAGAGAAAUGUUGAGCAACAUUAGCCAACUUAUUAAAUAAUAGAGUUUAUGGUGUGAAAAUUAGCAGGCUCAUAAAGUCAGACAGCUAACGUUACAACAUCAGAUGAGCUGACGUUAGUAACCUAACCAAUUCAAUAUAGUAUUAACUGGUAUACGACUCCUUGCCGUUCAUCAAGUUAUAACGCGUUAGUUGCUUACUGGACCCUGGAAAUCGGUGUGAAUGGUAACGAACUAACUACUAUCUGUGAACUGAUGUUUUCCCUCAGAAGUAUGUGGUUCAUUUUCAGAAGGAGAGAAUUAGGUGAAAAUGAGUUGUUGCUUGUUAAACAGGUGGAUUCAGGGAUGAGGUGUAGCUGGUUAAACAGGUGGAUUCAGGGAUGAGGUGUAGCUGGUUAAACAGGUGGAUUCAGGGAUGAGGUGUAGCUGGGCCUGGUUUAACAGGUGGAUUCAGGGAUGAGGUGUAGCUGGGCCUGGUUUAACAGGUGGAUUCAGGGAUGAGGUGUAGCUGGUUUAACAGGUGGAUUCAGGGAUGAGGUGUAGCUGGGCCUGGUUUAACAGGUGGAUUCAGGGAUGAGGUGUAGCUGGGCCUGGUUUAACAGGUGGAUUCAGGGAUGAGGUGUAGCUGGUUUAACAGGUGGAUUCAGGGAUGAGGUGUAGCUGGGCCUGGUUUAACAGGUGGAUUCAGGGAUGUGGUGUAGCUGGGCCUGGUUUAACAGGUGGAUUCAGGGAUGAGGUGUAGCUGGGCCUGGUUUAACAGGUGGAUUCAGGGAUGAGGUGUAGCUGGGCCUGGUUUAACAGGUGGAUUCAGGGAUGAGGUGUAGCUGGAGCUGGUUUAACAGGUGGAUUCAGGGAUGAAGUGGAGCUGGGCCUGGUUUAACAGGUGGAUUCAGGGAUGAAGUGGAGCUGGGCCUGGUUUAACAGGUGGAUUCAGGGAUGAAGUGGAGCUGGGCCUGGUUUAACAGGUGGAUUCAGGGAUGAAGUGGAGCUGGGCCUGGUUUAACAGGUGGAUUCAGGGAUGAGGUGUAGCUGGGCCUGGUUUAACAGGUGGAUUCAGGGAUGAAGUGGAGCUGGGCCUGGUUUAACAGGUGGAUUCAGGGAUGAGGUGUAGCUGGGCCUGGUUUAACAGGUGGAUUCAGGGAUGAAGUGGAGCUGGGCCUGGUUUAACAGGUGGAUUCAGGGAUGAGGUGUAGCUGGGCCUGGUUUAACAGGUGGAUUCAGGGAUGAAGUGGAGCUGGGCCUGGUUUAACAGGUGGAUUCAGGGAUGAGGUGUAGCUGGGCCUGGUUUAACAGGUGGAUUCAGGGAUGAAGUGGAGCUGGGCCUGGUUUAACAGGUGGAUUCAGGGAUGAGGUGUAGCUGGGCCUGGUUUAACAGGUGGAUUCAGGGAUGAGGUGUAGCUGGAGCUGGUUUAACAGGUGGAUUCAGGGAUGAGGUGGAGCUGGUUUAACAGGUGGAUUCAGGGAUGAAGUGUAGCUGGGCCUGGUUUAACAGGUGGAUUCAGGGAUGAGGUGUAGCUGGGCCUGGUUUAACAGGUGGAUUCAGGGAUGAAGUGGAGCUGGGCCUGGUUUAACAGGUGGAUUCAGGGAUGAGGUGUAGCUGGGCCUGGUUUAACAGGUGGAUUCAGGGAUGAAGUGGAGCUGGGCCUGGUUUAACAGGUGGAUUCAGGGAUGAAGUGGAGCUGGGCCUGGUUUAACAGGUGGAUUCAGGGAUGAGGUGUAGCUGGGCCUGGUUUAACAGGUGGAUUCAGGGAUGAAGUGGAGCUGGGCCUGGUUUAACAGGUGGAUUCAGGGAUGAAGUGGAGCUGGGCCUGGUUUAACAGGUGGAUUCAGGGAUGAGGUGUAGCUGGUUUAACUGGUGGAUUCAGGGAUGAGGUGUAGCUGGGCCUGGUUUAACAGGUGGAUUCAGGGAUAAAGUGGAGCUGGUUUAACAGGUGGAUUCAGGGAUGAGGUGUAGCUGGGCCUGGUUUAACAGGUGGAUUCAGGGAUGAGCUGGAGCUGGUUUAACAGGUGGAUUCAGGGAUGAAGUGUAGCUGGGCCUGGUUUAACAGGUGGAUUCGGGGAUGAGGUGUAGCUGGGCCUGGUUUAACAGGUGGAUUCAGGGAUGAGGUGUAGCUGGGCCUGGUUUAACAGGUGGAUUCAGGGAUGCGGUGUAGCUGGGCCUGGUUUAACAGGUGGAUUCGGGGAUGAGGUGUAGCUGGGCCUGGUUUAACAGGUGGAUUCGGGGAUGAAGUGGAGCUGGGCCUGGUUUAACAGGUGGAUUCAGGGAUGAGGUGUAGCUGGGCCUGGUUUAACAGGUGGAUUCAGGGAUGAAGUGGAGCUGGGCCUGGUUUAACAGGUGGAUUCAGGGAUGAAGUGGAGCUGGGCCUGGUUUAACAGGUGGAUUCAGGGAUGAGGUGUAGCUGGGCCUGGUUUAACAGGUGGAUUCAGGGAUGAAGUGGAGCUGGGCCUGGUUUAACAGGUGGAUUCAGGGAUGAAGUGUAGCUGGGCCUGGUUUAACAGGUGGAUUCAGGGAUGAGGUGUAGCUGGUUUAACUGGUGGAUUCAGGGAUGAGGUGUAGCUGGGCCUGGUUUAACAGGUGGAUUCAGGGAUAAAGUGGAGCUGGUUUAACAGGUGGAUUCAGGGAUGAGGUGUAGCUGGGCCUGGUUUAACAGGUGGAUUCAGGGAUGAGCUGGAGCUGGUUUAACAGGUGGAUUCAGGGAUGAAGUGUAGCUGGGCCUGGUUUAACAGGUGGAUUCGGGGAUGAGGUGUAGCUGGGCCUGGUUUAACAGGUGGAUUCAGGGAUGAGGUGUAGCUGGGCCUGGUUUAACAGGUGGAUUCAGGGAUGAGGUGUAGCUGGGCCUGGUUUAACAGGUGGAUUCAGGGAUGCGGUGUAGCUGGGCCUGGUUUAACAGGUGGAUUCGGGGAUGAGGUGUAGCUGGGCCUGGUUUAACAGGUGGAUUCGGGGAUGAAGUGGAGCUGGGCCUGGUUUAAACUGGAUGCCACUAUAGAGGUGAAAGAAACACCACACACUUUCCGUCUUUCUCAAUACGGAGUUAUGCCAGGCGUUACUUUGCCUGAAAGAGAUCAAUUAUGCCAACAAACGGUCUCAUUCAUGGGGCGGCAGGUAGUCUCGUGGUUAGAGUGUAGGGUCCGCAGGGUAGCCUAGUGGUUAGAGUGUAGGGUCCGCAGGGUAGCCUAGUGGUUAGAGUGUAGGGUCCGCAGGGUAGCCUAGUGGUUAGAGUGUAGGGUCCGCAGGGUAGCCUAGUGGUUAGAGUGUAGGGUCCGCAGGGUAGCCUAGUGGUUAGAGUGUAGGGUCCGCAGGGUAGCCUAGUGGUUAGAGCGUUGGGCCUGUAACUGAAAGGUUGCUAGAUUGAAUCCCCGAGCUGACAAGGUAGAAAUCUGUUUUUUUUUUGUCCCUGAACAAGGCAGUUAACCCACUGUUCCUAGGACGUCGUUGUAAAUAAGAAUUUGUUCUUAACUGACUUGCCAAGUUAAAUAAAUGUAAAAUAAAACAAUUCUCUGCUGGCACAUUGUAGAACAGAUGUCCACAGGCAGAACGUGCACAGUGUAAUAACCUGCAGUGUAGCCUAAAGAUAUGGUUUUAGUUGUGUUGAACUUGACAGUAACACCUGAGAGUGAGGAGGAUUAUUCCAUGUUUUACUCAGUGAAUGUUAUUUUUCCACACAUGAAGCCUUGUGCACUUGAUCGACGUCUACUAUCGUGGCCACUAUAUAAUAGAACAAAAAUAGAAUCCCUGUUCUGUUUCAUUCUAUUUCUACUUUAAGAUGUUU